GACGAACGCUGGCGGCGUGCCUAAUACAUGCAAGUCGAGCGAAGUUUUUCUGGUGCUUGCACUAGAAAAACUUAGCGGCGAACGGGUGAGUAACACGUAAAGAACCUGCCUCAUAGACUGGGACAACUAUUGGAAACGAUAGCUAAUACCGGAUAACAGUAUUUCUCGCAUGAGAGAUAUUUAAAAGUUGGUUAUGCUAACACUAUGAGAUGGCUUUGCGGUGCAUUAGCUAGUUGGUGGGGUAAAGGCCCACCAAGGCGACGAUGCAUAGCCGACCUGAGAGGGUGAUCGGCCACACUGGGACUGAGACACGGCCCAGACUCCUACGGGAGGCAGCAGUAGGGAAUCUUCCGCAAUGGGCGAAAGCCUGACGGAGCAACGCCGCGUGAGUGAAGAAGGAUUUCGGUUCGUAAAGCUCUGCUGUUAGGGAAGAAUGGAUAUGUAGUAACUAUACAUGUAAGAGACGGUACCUAACCAGAAAGCCACGGCUAACUACGUG
rnacentral:rRNA from 1 species